AUUGAACGCUGGCGGCAGGCCUAACACAUGCAAGUCGAGCGGAGCGGCGGACGGGUGAGUAAUGCCUAGGAAUCUGCCUGGUAGUGGGGGAUAACGUCCGGAAACGGGCGCUAAUACCGCAUACUAUCAGAUGAGCCUAAGUCGGAUUAGCUAUUUGGGGGGGUAAAGGCCUACCAAGGCGACGCUCUGUAGCGGGUCUGAGAGGAUGAUCCGCCACAUGGUGACUGUGACACUGCCCAGAUUCCUACGGGAGGCAGCAGGGGGGAAUAUGGGACAUGGGGGGGAACCCUGAUCCAGCCAGGCCGCGUGUGUGAAGAAGGCCUUAUGGUUGGAAAGCACGGUAAGCGAGGAGGCGUUAGUCGCAGAAUAAGCACCGGCUAACUCGGUGCCAGCCGCCGCGGUAAUAC
rnacentral:rRNA from 1 species